ensembl:lncRNA
CAAGGCUACAGGAGAGUUUACAUCAGCUGCUUUCGUUACUGCACCCUAAAUAGCAUCUAAACCAAAGGCUCCUGGUCUGGAUUACUGAGCCUAUGUGGAAACAUGAGAAGAACCAGAAAGAUAAGUAUUUCAUAUUGUAUCCAGAGCAUUUCCCGUAAUUGCUCUGUUUCCUGCUCUACUUCCUACAGUACUUCUCUACCCCUCAGCUGUCUUUUGCUUCCCGUUUACUCUGUUAACCUUCACCUCGUGUCCUCCAGCAUCCAUCUGUUCUGGUAGCAUCCUGAACCCUUCAUCUCACAGUGCCUCCCCUUUGUUGUGUGGAUGGCACUGCUGUCAGCAAUGCCCUAUGUAUCCCAGCUGCUGGUUCUUAUAGGCAGUAUAAAAUAAUAACAGUAAUAAUAACAAUAAGUGGCUUCUCUGGAUUUAAUUUAGCUUGUUCUAUGAGAAAAGUGGUAUGCAGUUUUCAUUCCCCAAAACCUUUUGUAAAACUGGUGCUUCCAUAGGUGGAUCUCUUUACUCUGAGUCAUCUGAUGGCCAGAAGGAAUCUGAGACAGCAUCUUUAGAGGCCUCUAAAAGUGUUCAUCGAGUUUCCUAGCUUUUAAAAUUUUGUUACUCUCUUGCCAUUGACCUUACAGGAACUAUGGAUUCGAUCACUGGAGCCAGACUAAUGAUUUUUAUUGCAGAGCCGCUGAGCUAGGGUUAAUGUUAUCAGCGUUAUUUGCCAUUGGAGCAACUGUAUAUUUUGGUACUCUUAAUCCUGACAUGACAUUGGGUUGUUGGUGUUGGGCUGCAUGUAUAUGUGGUGCACAUAUAUGCACACAUGUUCAGUGUUUCCAUAGUUCAGAAUUAAAAUGCCCAAUGUAGUUAUGGGAGAAUUAAUCCAGCAAGGAGGAUUUGGAGGAGGAUGAAGGGUGAUGAUCUGAUGGAAAAAUCCUUGUUUUAGAGCUGGGAAGACUGUUUUAUGUUCUGUCCCAAACUUUUUCUUCUGCAAACUGCUUUGAGAGGAAUUUAGAAAGCAAGCUCUGUUUGCUGUUGUCUACAUGAGGACAAGGAUGUCUUUGAUUUCUGCUGCUCUUUCUGUAUGUGUUGUGGGGGGCUGGACCUUGCAGCAUCACCAGUGACUACCUCCAGUCACGUCUUUCUCAGUCAUACUGAGAAGAUCUGCUCUUGCUGAACGUCAGGGAGAACCAAGAUUUUAACUCAUUUUUGCUUGUGUGCUGUUGAAAAUAUCUGCUUGUCCUUUUCCUCUGCUCUGCAAAUACAAAGCUAAGAUUUCCUGUAGUGAUCCAGCUUAGGUUUAGAUGCCAAGAUACAGUAGCUGGAGGGCUGUGGAAGUGGAAAGCAUAGUGAUGUUGCCUGUUUGUAUAGAUAUACUGCAAACCCUGUGUAUCUGAAGUGGUGUUGUUACUGUCUUCGGUUGCUCGUUGGGUUUGACCUUCUCCUCAGUUCUGGCUGGGAUUUCUUUCUCCGGCUUUAGCUGUUGAAAAGGUAGGCUGUCUAAGCAACUUGUUCAGACUUGCUUUAGUCAGCAUAACGAGAAAAGGCAUCACCAAAAAUGAAUUAAUCCCACUCAAAGUCAAGUACCAAGGAUCUGAAGGUUGUGGGAAGAGGUUUCAUUUAUUUAUUUAUUUAUUUAUUUAUUUUAGGAAUUGUUUGUUAGGCAUAGAAGGAAAAUGAGACAGUCUUAUAAAUCUGGAGUGGAAAACUCACUAUUCCUUAGAAUUAACAAUCCUUCCCUUAUCACCUUCGUCUCUCCUUCUGCAAACAUAUGACGUUUUUCGUUACACAGGAUCUGAUUUUAAACCAAACCAAACCAAGAGUGAUAUCAGAAUGUAGACAGGAAUGUUACUCAAUCAGUGUUUUCUCAGUUAAGUUUUCCAAGUGUUUUAGUAUCAAAACAAAGCUUUGUUUAUUUUUCUUUUCUGCAAAUAGAGAAAUAUCUGAAUAACUGGUGUAAAUAAUAAAUUAACAUGGCUGGGUGAUUUCAUUUUGCUCUUAAAUGCAAAGGGUCUCUUUGGGGAUUUUCAACAGGAAAUGACCAUAUUUUCAUAUCACUGCACAUGAUUCUACAUCUCAGCUGAGUGAGAUGCAGUUGAAAAAACAAAAAGGAACCCAUGCACAGAUAAAUGUAGCUCUUGUUUAAAACAUCAUCAUUAUCUCUCAAUUUUGCUGAUUUCUCCAAACAAAACUGUGUUUGCGAGUGUUUUCAGUAUCUGAGUUGCUCACUCAGAAGAGUUUAAUGAACGCUUUUUACUGUGAAUGCUUGCACGCCUGCCUUUCUUGUUUCCAUAUUCCACUCAGUAUAUGUUUGUGGCUAUGAGCUGGAAGGGGUCUGACUCUUAGGAGUUCGGAUGGGAUCUAAGCAAGAGCAAUCUGUACCCGAAGAAAGAUGUAAUGGUAAACUUAAAGAAAUGUUAUGGAUAAAAUAAUGAAAUAUGAAGACAUUUGCUGUAGGGAUUUGUAAACUAAAAUAUUGUUUCAGAUUCUCUUUUUUUCCUUUUCUGUGGAAAUUUUUGAAACACCUCUUCCAUCUCUCCAGGGCCUUUUCAUGUCAUACAGAAGAUGAAAAGUUCUGCUCUUCUUCCAGGCAAAAACUGAUGUGAUGUUUGUAAAGUCUAGCUAGCAUUGUGAAACAAGCAAUUGCAAACAAUAAAUAAUAGAGGUGCUAAUAUUUUGUUCAUAACCUUACCCAUUUUUGUGUUAUGCCCUCAGUAACGAUAAUCAAUGAUACCGUUUGCUACAGCACAUUUUUAGUCCUGGAGAUCUUGGCUCAGUGAGGUCACCAAUGAAAUAAGAUUAGUGUUUUAUUUAUAGGUGUCUUACAAAACCUACUUCAUCAGCUGCUCCAGGGUCUAUAUGGCAGCAGUUUUCCAUGGAAGCAUCACACAAAAAGUUAUGAAGAAUAUUUUGAAGGGAGGAGGCAGGCAAGAAGCUCUACAAGAUUAGGGGCCUGGACAAGGCCGUAGACGAGAAACUCUUUUGCUCUAGAGAGCAAAGGGAGCUGGAACAGAGCAAUUGCAGUCAUGAUUAGUUCUGCAAAGAGGCUAUGCAAAAAAUAUUUAUCAUUUUCAAAUGAUGGUGGGGUCUUUCACCUUAGGCUUUAUCCUCAAGGUGAACUCUUAACAGCUGUAGCACAAUGGUGCCAGGUGCUCUUUGGAUCUCUGGAUAUUGAUUACCUUUCAUGCAGCAAAUUACCACUACGAGUCCAGAAAAAAUGUGUCUGGUGUUUUUUUUUUUUUUUUUUCCAUGGCUUUCAGAGUGUUUCUGAGCUAUUCUGUACGGGGUAGGACUACACAGGCCCAGAAUCAGACCUUUAGAUACGAGGGGAAACUUUCGUCUCUGUUGGGAAGAUACCUAGAUUUGGAGUCAUAGUGUUGUCUUUGUACUUAAAUCUUUCAUUAGAUUUUGCUCUUACAUAGCACCAGUGCUUUGGCUUCAUUUAGGAAACUCAUUUGUGUGAGGAUUGCCAGUUCUUUUCAAGAGCAGGGAGUAAAAUUCUGGGUGAAGUAUCCGACAACCCUGUGCAGUAUGAGCACAACCGACUGUCCUGCCCUGGGACAGAGAUAGUGUAACUGAAUUUUGGCUGUUUAAGAGGGGUGGCUGAUCUGGCUGUACAGUCUCUACCUUUCCUCAGCAGUAAGAGCCAUCUGUAGGUCACCUGUAGUAGAGACGCCACCCCCCCGUCAGAGCCUGCCUCCCUCCGUGCAUUUGUGAAGGUGCUCAGCAAGUUCCUGUCAUCUGUAAGUGGAGGACUGGGUCCACUGCAACUGCCAGCAUCUACUGAGGAAUUUGGCUUCAGUGUGAGGCUGCCUAUGGCACUGCCCACUCUGACCAACUCAGAGAGAUCUGGCAGGUGGGGAGUGUUUCAGCACAACCUAAAGUCAGGGUUUGGGAGGGAUGGAGCAAAAGAUAUCCUGGAGGAAAACUGAGUCACGUUUGGAUGUGCUGCAUCCUGCCUUAUGGUUUACAAACAACAGCUGGGCAGGUGUCAGGUCUUGCAUAUAAAUGUGGCAGAGGGUCUGACCAAACCGAAUCUGACUGAUGGAUGCGUGCCUGGACGCAGGCAUUAGCCAAACAGUCGUGAAGAGUAUUUGAUUAGAAAGGGACGGCCUGAAAAGUGUCAGAUUACCAGAUACAAAGGCCAGACCUUUAAGGUUAUCUACUUUGUCUUCUUUUAUGAAAAGAAUUUCCUAAUUAUUUUUACUGCAAGCCCAAGAAUGUUAAAUGUAAGCUCUAAUGCAAAAAAACAAUAGGUAAUCCAUCACACAUACCUUUGUGAAACAGCCAUGCAGUUCAAAAGGCUUAAAAUAAACAAGUAUAAAAGCGUACUGUGAUGUUGUUUUUUUCUUCAUAAAGAUUUUUCAAUUUUCUGCUCAGAGGAGCUUUUUACUGUAAGAAUACAGUUUCUGAUCUGCUCUUGUUUAUAUAUUUUGUGUAGGAAACCGUACAUACUGAAGGAACACAGAAUAUAGUGCUUGUUGUAAAAUGAUACUGUAAGUAAGGCCAAAUUAAAUACUCUAAUGUUUCACUGUUCACUGGCUAGUAUCCAUUUUCUCAGUGUUUUCAGAUAAAGGUCUGGAUUCAUCCUUGUUUGAUAAAAGCUUCUUGCCUGAGAAGAGCCAAGUAGGGUUGUUAGUCCCUGUUUCUCACGUGGUGACUGGGGAGAAAUCUGCUCUUACAAGGUGAUUCCUCUCUUAUGUGCAGUGGAUCACUCUGAAAGUGCUUGCUCCUUUGAGGGGACUGUAGGAGAUAGGUGAAGCCCUGGACAAUUAAACUCGCACUGUAGGUAAUGAAGUAGGAUAAAUCUAGGAUUGAGUGGUUGACUUUAAGAUCUUAAAACAACAUGCAGACUACCUGUAUCUUUCAGAUGGUCAUACCUAGCAGUUGUUUUAGGGAAUCAUAGAAUUCUUAGAGUUGGAAGGAACCUUUAAGUGCCAUUUUGGAAGCAGGGGUUGUCAUGAUCAACACAUAGUGGCUAAAGAGCAUGGUCUGAUUUUUUUAUUUUUCUUUCUUCUUAUUUCCCAUCUCAAUCUCUAGCUAUAGAGCUGCCAAAACCUGGAAUCAUCAUCUCAGUGGCAGCCCAUUGGUGCCAAGGGUUGCCAUUGAGUCCCUUGAAGCUGAACAAGCCUGAGUCCUGCAGCCUCUCUCUGCAUGACAAGGGUCUCAAGCCCCGACUGUCUCAGUGGGCCCUGCUGAACUUGCUCCCAUUAGUGAUGUCUCUUUCAAUAGGGAUCCUAUUGAGGGGAGGACUGAAUGCAGUAUCAAGAUGCAGCCUACGAAGUGCUAAGUAAAGGGGGAUACAUAUCAUUGUCCCUUGAUUUGUGCUCAAAUUCAUGCUGCCCAGGCGCACUGCUGCCUAUGCUUGGGGGCUGCAGCAUAUGAACAGUGAUGCCAUGUAAAGCAAAUAGGGAAACUGUUAAAAUGCAACAAAAGGAAAAAAACAGCUUUAUAUAUCUUUCUUUUCCAGGAGGCUGUGCAGUUUAUCUGUUGUAUUUAAACGUAUUUCAUAUAGUUUUUCCAAACACAGGAAAAUAAACGUUACCAAUGUAUUAUACAAAAGAAUAACACUCAUCAGCUUCUAAAGAAAAAUACCUGUGAUACAGGAAACAUGUAUAAUAUUUAAAAGCUCUGUCACUGAUAAUCUUGCUUUAUGUCAUCCAAGGCUUUUAAAGCUGCUCUCUGAGUAGAGAUCAAAUUUGUAAAUGAUAUUCAUGUUACAGUCAGUCAUAUAACUCUGAUUGUCACCGUGAUUUACAAAGGGAAAAACAUAGGCAUUCACAGCAACCUAAAUAGUAUUUGCUUUUUCUCUUUGUUAUAAUCAAAUGCUCAACUUCAGAUUCAAAAAAAAUCUAAUAAUGACUAAUGGGCAAUGAUCUUUUGUAUUAGCAGCAGUGCAUUCAAUAUCUCUUUGAGCAGUGAUUACCAUCUUUUUUGGGGGAGGAUAUCAAUUUAAAGGUCAAGUGCUUUCAUAAAAAAGGUGAUUAUCCACUAUUUCAUGUGUUGAACAAAAGCUUAGCAGGAUUCAUUGUGUGUCAGUUUCUUUUGUAUAUAGCAUAUAUGCAGAGAAAUGGAUCGCUUAAUUAUAUAACUAUCUGUCUUCAGGGUAGGUAUGUGAACAUGAAUAGAAGCUGUCAAAUAGGUACUUUGCUUUGCUUGUGUUAUUUAAUCAAUUACUGUAGUGAUUGCAGGCUAUAAGUUGGCUUUUAAAAAUAGGCAAAAAUUUAGAUUACUUGUGUGCCAUCAGCCAGGGCUUUGGUUAUAAAUGGGUGGUUUUAUUGGGAACAGAAUGCAGAACAAAGACAAAAAGGAAAAAGGAACAAACAAAACGGGGCCAAACUCAUGGCUGAUCCCUUUCUCUUUCAAUUCUUGUACUGUUCUUUUACAACCUCGAAAAAUAUUCUGUUUCUUAGAUGUAAUAAAAUGGCUGGGGUUAAAUUUAGAACUGAUCCAAGCAAGGGAACUUGAAGCUGGUUUUAGCCACUUCCGUUUUUUACUUUUUCUCCACCAUGGACUUUCAUCUGUUACAUUUCCAGUUUGAUAUCUCACUUAACAUUUCCAACAAAACGAUCACCUUUCUGUAUUUUCCAACUUGUUCUUUCUCCCACUUGUAAGACAGCUUUCAUCCAUGAGAUAGUCUUCAUCUGGAGACGUUCUCAUUUGUCAAUGUGAAUUACCACGUUAGUAUGUACUUUCCUUGUUCGCAGUUUUUGUUUUUUUGGAUCAUAUCCUUAUUUCUAUUGAUGUGCCCACUAUUUGCCACAUAAUUCAUGUCUGUUUGAUCUGCUGCAUUUUAGAAAUCACCUUCCAUUGCUGAUUUACUGCUCGUUAUUUGUGGCGUUCUGUUGGUCACCAUAGUUACAUGGCGUUGUUACUUCUCCCUUUGUAACACAGAAACUUUUAAAAAGAGAUAGUAAUAAACAAUACCCUGUGAAUAGAAUGGCAAUUAUGAACUCUUAAUUCUUAUUUUUUCAUACAAAAAACUUUGCAUGUGAGAUAAAGCUAUUUGUGUGAUGCACAGCUACAUCUUGGCCUUUUGCACAGGGAUCAGUGUUGAAAAAUAAGUGGUACACACCAGAUUGACCACAUGCCAGAGUGACUUCAUGCCAGGGAGAUUUUUAUCAAAUGCUUUCUGUAAAUGAAGUGGCUCUUGCCUUUUAUAUUUAUUUAUUUAUUUUUGAAGUAAAAUAUCUCUAAAAAUGUAAUAUCCAGAUCAGAAAUCUUCUUGUUGUUUUAUAGGGUACUUAAUAUAUACUUUGAGCAUCCCAAGUAGGCUGGAAAUUGUAAUGGCUCUGCUUUCUACAAAAUUGCUGAGGAUAACCAGUUUUAUCUAGUGAGAGGAGGCAGAUGAGAGUGGUAGCUCCAUCAUCACAGGCUAAUGUGAAAAAAGAAAAAAAAACCCACAGGUUUUCAUUAGUGUUAUUGUAUAUUAGCCCCACUCCACACUAGAGGUUGUUGGUUUUUUUUAAUUAUAUGAGAGGUGCAUAUCAACACAGUUAGGAUAAUUCACUUGAUGAACGCAGCCAAAACCUGUGUUUGGUUUGUGGUGCCUAUAGAGCAUUCUUACAUAGUGCCUAGGUGAACAUCAACAUUUUAAACAAUAGGCACUAGCUAUUCUUGAGCUUCGUUCCUUUUUUUUUUUUCCAAUGGGUUUUUCUUGUGGCUGCACACAUGGUAAAUCUUUAGCUUCAAGUGUCCUUCUGUGGUGACCAACUAAAAUAUUAGCAAAAUAAAUGUUUUAUGGGAAAACGUUGGCAGAAACCCCAGCAGAAACAGGUGGUAUUGGGUUAUUUCAAUAUAGUGUAAUGAUGCAGCCAGGUUUCCAUCUGGACAGCAUGUGGUUGUGUCUACUUAGAGAGUAUCAAAGAGUGUGAGUAUGCACCAGGGAUAAUGGUGGUGCACGAAAGUGCAGCAGGAUGGCUACUUUACAAAAUAAUAGUCAGGGUUCUAGGUCCUUUGGGUUAAAUACUUUUACUGUCAGAAUCUGAAUUUCCUCAUAAAAUAUUAAAGAUGGAGCAAACCUCUGACAUGCAAUACCAAGCUGUGUAAUUAUAAGGCAGUUCCUGGAAGCCAAGUAUUGUUCACAUUAUAGCUAGGCGUUUAUUAUAAAAGAGUUCAUUACCCUUGGAAGCUAAGACAUAUUUCAAAGAGAGUGCCCUGGAACUGAAGCUCUUUCAGCAAGCUUUGCUAUAGGAGGAAAAAGAGCCACAAGCAAGCUGAUCAGAGGAUAGCUAGGAAGUGGGAGUGGAGUUAGUGGAUCUUUGGCUGCUAGGAGCUGAGUCUGUACAUAGUGGGCCAGACGCUCAUCUGAAGUAAAUGGCUCCAUCUACACUGACUUAAGUGUCAUCACGUGGAAUUAUACCAGAUAAGGCAUUUUCAGCCUAAUACCAGAGGUGAUUUUCUUUUUGGCUGGCAGAUGCUCUCACAAACCAAAGGGCACAUUUUGCAAGGAUGUGCCACAAACCAUCUUCAUAUUUCUGUGCUCUCUGUGCAUGAAGGAAGGCUAAAUCUGAUUAUGUGGGGCUGGCAAAGGCUGAGUUCUGAGCAGGAUUUGGCCCAUUGCUUAUAAGAGAAGGUUUGCAAGAUUCCUUUGUAAAAUAUCUUUUUGUGGACAAGAGUGUAAGAAGGCAGUUUGUGGAGUGGGAGAAGAAAGGAGAAACAAACUCAGACUCCUUUGGGGUGGUCAGUUGGAGCAGAGGUGACACCGUGCAGCUUCCAGCACUUGGAAGUGUGGAGCAGAGAGUCAGCUCUGUCCCAAGCAAAGCACAGCUGUUAAUGAAUACACAGGGCCUGAUUCUUCACUGCCUUUGUAUUUUGUGCACGUUUAUUCCUGGUUUACAGUAUCAAUCAGCUUGAUAGCAUUUGACACCCUGUGUCAUUUGCUCAGUACAAGCGUAAAUCAUAGAAGCUGGGUUGAGGAAAAUUAAGACCAGGUCUCAGGCUGCCAUGAAUCAGGUAGCCUUGUGGUCUGCACUGAUGAUCCAGUGAUUUGCACCAGCUGAGGAACUGGCCUAAGCGCCCUUUCUUUGCUGAUAUAUCACUCCUAUACCUCUAUGUGUUAACAGCCUCUGUUUCUCUUUUUCCCUUGUUCAUGGAUGACCUGAUUACACUGGAAACUGUGCUUUUUGCCAGAGGGAAGAAACACCCAGAAGUUUAGGGUGCUGGCCAGCAGCGCUUGGCAGCUUGAGAACAACAUGCUGCUGCCAUUAGUGGGUAGUGCUACCCAGGGGUGCCAAGAGCCAUGCAAAAUGAGAUGAAAUCCAACAGCUGAUGAAUGUGAUGAUUAAAAGAUCUGUGAAGUAUUUAACAAUAAUGGGUAGCGGACAGUUUUUGGAAGGAACAAAACGAUCUGCACACACCUGACACUAAGGAUAAUACCUCUUUGUGUCACACGUAGAUCUCUUUCUCCUUUCCUGAACAGAUCCUAUCUCAAGGUCUUGUUUGCAAUGCCGAUAUGGAGUGGAAAUGUUUAAAUGCUCUGCUGGGCCCAACAUACAUUGGUUCUCCUGGAGCUGCAAUGUCUUGAGCUGGAGGAGAAAUGAGAGAUCAUCUGAAAUCUGCAUGGAUGAAGGUCGGACUGUGCCCCAAAGCCUGGUGACUCCUCCCCAGCUGUACCCAGCAGCAAAAGGAAGAGGAUCAUCACUAACGCUAUGAACUUUCAUUCUCCAGAGGCAGCCAUCAACGAAUUAAAAUCGAGUGGCAGCAAGCAGCUACUCAGCCUAACCACUUUCUCUGCUCGGCACGGGGGCUGGAUUCAGCAGAGGUGAGGCUUGGAAAUGAAAGCCAGGAGAGGGAUUGGGAAGGGAAAACCAGCCAAUUGAGAUCACAGAGAAAGAGACGUUAAUGGCAAAGAUCACACACAACAAAACCAAACAAAAUGAAGCAGCUAAAGACGGUGAUUAUAUAGAUCUGAGCAGAUUGUUGACUAUGUGGAAUUGCAAUUAUCUCUCAGGCUCCUGGGACCUUGCUCGGGGAAUCAUUACUACAAAACCAAGAAGAUUGUUCUCAGGUGCAGAACAUAUUGAUUUUGCUGUUCUCCAGCAUCCUGCAAAGCAACUGACCAUGUCAUUUAAGUGUUCGUUA